GUGGCGGAUGGGCAUGCGUCGCAUUAGUUAGUUGGCGGUGUAACGGACCACCAAGACGACGAUGCGUAGGGGUUCUGAGAGGAAGGUCCCCCACACUGGUACUGAGACACGGACCAGACUCCUACGGGAGGCAGCAGUGAGGAAUAUUGGUCAAUGGGCGGGAGCCUGAACCAGCCAAGUCGCGUGAGGGAUGACGGCCCUAUGGGUUGUAAACCUCUUUUGCCGGGGAGCAAAGUGCCGCACGUGUGCGGUUUGGAGAGUACCCGGAGAAAAAGCAUCGGCUAACUCCGUGCCAGCAGCCGCGGUAAUACGGAGGAUGCGAGCGUUAUCCGGAUUUAUUGGGUUUAAAGGGUGCGUAGGCGGACGCUUAAGUCAGCGGUAAAAUUGCGGGGCUCAACCUCGUCGAGCCGUUGAAACUGGGUGCCUUGAGUGGGCGAGAAGUACGCGGAAUGCGUGGUGUAGCGGUGAAAUGCAUAGAUAUCACGCAGAACUCCGAUUGCGAAGGCAGCGUACCGGCGCCCAACUGACGCUGAAGCACGAAGGCGUGGGUAUCGAACAGGAUUAGAUACCCUGGUAGUCCACGCAGUAAACGAUGAAUGCUAGUUGUCCGGGGCGAUUGAGUUCUGG
rnacentral:rRNA from 1 species